rnacentral:rRNA from 1 species
AGUGAACGCUGGCGGUAGGCCUAACACAUGCAGGUCGAACGGCAGCACAGUAAGAGCUUGCUCUUACGGGUGGCGAGUGGCGGACGGGUGAGGAAUACAUCGGAAUCUACUUUUUCGUGGGGGAUAACGUAGGGAAACUUACGCUAAUACCGCAUACGACCUACGGGUGAAAGCAGGGGAUCUUCGGACCUUGCGCGAUUGAAUGAGCCGAUGUCGGAUUAGCUAGUUGGCGGGGUAAAGGCCCACCAAGGCGACGAUCCGUAGCUGGUCUGAGAGGAUGAUCAGCCACACUGGAACUGAGAUACGGUCCAGACUCCUACGGGAGGCAGCAGUGGGGAAUAUUGGACAAUGGGCGCAAGCCUGAUCCAGCCAUACCGCGUGGGUGAAGAAGGCCUUCGGGUUGUAAAGCCCUUUUGUUGGGAAAGAAAAGCAGCAGGUUAAUACCCCGCUGUUCUGACGGUACCCAAAGAAUAAGCACCGGCUAACUUCGUG